rnacentral:rRNA from 1 species
AUUGAACGCUGGCGGCAGGCCUAACUCAUGCAAGUCGCACGAGUGGCGGACGGGUGAGUAAUGUCUGGGAAACUGCCUGCUGGAGGGGGAUAACUACUGGAAACGGUAGCUAAUACCGCAUACCAUCAAAUGUGCCCAGAUGGUGUUAGCGUGUGGGUGGGGUAACGGCGCCCCAAGGCUCCGAUCCCUAGCUGGUCUGAGAGGAUGACCAGCCACACGGGAACUGCGACACGGUCCAGACUACUACGUGAGGCAGCAGUGGGGAAUAUUGCACAAUGGGCGCAAGCCUGAUGCAGCCAUGCCGCGUGUAUGAAGAAGGCCUGCGGGUUGUAAAGUACUUUCAGCGGGGAGGCGUUACCCGCAGAAGAAGCACCGGCUAACUCCGUGCCAGCAGCCGCGGUAAUUC